AGGGGUUGGCUUCACUGAAGCACCACAGCCGCUUGUGUUGGCUGCCUGCCACGCACCACUGCUGAACCACAGGGAUUGUGUGGCCCCGGUACUGUGCACACGCUGUAUUUAUAGCCUCACCCGUCCAAACCGAUUGGACGAUGAUUUGUCAGCGGAUGUGUGCGGCUCUAAGACGUUUGGGUUAGUGUCGGUGUCCUAGUGAUUGUUCUUUUGUUAUAAGGCAUUUAUAUGAAGAGGCAGAGAUUGUGUGAGAUCCUUGACUUCGAGAUGUAGCAAAAUCUGUUUUAAUAACACAAAGGUUUCUAAAUGUAAUAGGCCUACAGUACGAGGCAGUGACACAUUGUGUUGUACACAUGUAGUCUUAAUGCACUUUAAAAAGUGUGUGUGUGUGUGUGUGUGUGUGUGUAAACAUGAUAAUUUGGAAACUUUGUCAUGAAAACUACCCAUAUUGCUACAAUUGUUACGCUUACUUGUAAUACAAUCUCUAAAUCGCUCACUACUUUUUCUUGUACCUAAAAUCUAGAGGUUCCGGGCGUUGUCAAUUAACUUCCCCUGUCUCAUAGUGAGAGAGAGGUGUGUGUGUGUGUGUGUGUGUGUGUGUGUGUGUGUGUGUGUGUGUGUGUGUGUGUGUGUGUGUGUGUGUGUGUGUGUGUGUGUGUGUGUGUGUGUGUGUGUGUGUGUGUGUGUGU